rnacentral:rRNA from 1 species
AUUGAACGCUAGCGGGAUGCUUUACACAUGCAAGUCGAACGGCAGCGCGGACUUCGGUCUGGCGGCGAGUGGCGAACGGGUGAGUAAUGUAUCGGAACGUGCCCAGUAGCGGGGGAUAACUACGCGAAAGCGUAGCUAAUACCGCAUACGCCCUACGGGGGAAAGCAGGGGAUCGUAAGACCUUGCACUAUUGGAGCGGCCGAUAUCGGAUUAGCUAGUUGGUGAGGUAACGGCUCACCAAGGCGACGAUCCGUAGCUGGUUUGGGAGGACGACCAGCCACACUGGGACUGAGACACGGCCCAGACUCCUACGGGAGGCAGCAGUGGGGAAUUUUGGACAAUGGGGGCAACCCUGAUCCAGCCAUCCCGCGUGUGCGAUGAAGGCCUUCGGGUUGUAAAGCACUUUUGGCAGGAAAGAAACGUCGCGGGCUAAUACCCCGUGGAACUGACGGUACCUGCAGAAUAAGCACCGGCUAACUACGUG